rnacentral:lncRNA from 1 species
GAUAAAGUACAGAUAUAACAAAGAAACUGCCCGGUAUCCGACGUAAGAGUACACUUUUUACUGCACGCGUAGUCGGGUGUGUUCACUACGAGGACACUUAUACCCAACUACGCGUGAAGUAUGAGUACAGAAUCGUCCCAUACAGGGCAUUUUCUAUGUUAUCCUAGUAUAUUGUCCGACAGUUAAGAAUAGAAUCUGGUUCAGGGAGACGUCACUCAAUUUACCAAAAAAAUAAUUGAUGUUUUAAGGAACUGUAGAGGUCUCCACAGGUUUUCAACAAGGGUAGAAUUCAAAACCUUGAAUAUGAAAGCCUCGAAAUCCAUGAUACUUUUUCUGUGCGGUAGUUAUAUCUACAAAAUCCAAUCAUGUACACGACAUAUAAUACAUGUAUAUUAUAUAUUGGGAAUUUAUUUUUGUUUCCAAACAGAAUUAUAAGGUUAUGUAUAAGUGCCUCCGUUCACUGCACAAUUGUAAAUUGUCUUCCUAAAGACCAGCAAAAAAAAAAAAAAAAAAAAAGGCACAAGUUCACGUAGUCAUAAAAAAAGUCGUAUAAUUUACGUUAGCGAACAAAAAAUCAGAAAUACGGAAUAUUAUAUGUGAAUGGUUAGAAAAUCCGUUUCCCCUACAUAUUUUAAAAGUCAAAGAAAAAUGUUUUCCCUGAUACAAACGUUUCAAGAACCAGCUUUGUGUAACCUAUAGGCAAAUUUGACUGGAUAUAAGGAAGUUAAUAUGUUUACUCUGAUUUGAAAUUAUCUUUUAGAACUUUUUUUAGUAAUUGAGAACCUAUGUUGUUUAUGGGUAAUAGGUGAAAUGUUGCAUGAUCCCUUAAAAUGACAGCAAGCGCAGUUUUCCGGACGAUUUUCAUUUGUACACUGCUAAAACUGUCAGGUCCUGGCCAUGGUAUAUUUUGGAGAAUAUUUUUUUUACUGAUUUUUACUAGAAAAAAUAUUCUCUGUGUGUGCCAUUGCAAGAAAUUGUUUUGCUCGUUAUUUUGUCAUAUUAAAAAAAAUUAUUAACAAAAUUUCCCCGUUUAAACUGUAUUAGAAAAAAGUUUGGCAUGUGAAACGGACGAAGACAUAUUCUAACAGAAGUACAAAUACCAGUCCUACC